rnacentral:lncRNA from 1 species
UGAUUUUCCAAAAGAAGAGAUGACGAUGUGCUGAGAGAAAGCUGACGGGAGGAAGGAGGGAAAGCCAAUCAUUAUGAAGUCCCGCUACUGUGCCACUGCUGCUGUCGCCCACAACUCCAUGGAAGCUUGAUCUUCUCACUAGGGCUGGAUGCAACCCUAACAAAGGGCCAAGGGUUUUAUAUUUUAAUUUUUUUAUUCUUGGAGUUGUAUGAACUUAUUAUUUUUUAAUGAAUAUUUUAUUUCAUCUCAUAUUUAA